AGUGAACGCUGGCGGUAGGCCUAACACAUGCAAGUCGAACGGCAGCACAGUAAGAGCUUGCUCUUACGGGUGGCGAGUGGCGGACGGGUGAGGAAUACAUCGGAAUCUACUUUUUCGUGGGGGAUAACGUAGGGAAACUUACGCUAAUACCGCAUACAACCUACGGGUGAAAGUAGGGGAUCUUCGGACCUUGCGCGAUUGAAUGAGCCGAUGUCGGAUUAGCUAGUUGGCGGGGUAAAGGCCCACCAAGGCGACGAUCCGUAGCUGGUCUGAGAGGAUGAUCAGCCACACUGGAACUGAGACACGGUCCAGACUCCUACGGGAGGCAGCAGUGGGGAAUAUUGGACAAUGGGCGCAAGCCUGAUCCAGCCAUACCGCGUGGGUGAAGAAGGCCUUCGGGUUGUAAAGCCCUUUUGUUGGGAAAGAAAAGCAGCAGGUUAAUACCCCGCUGUUCUGACGGUACCCAAAGAAUAAGCACCGGCUAACUUCGUG
rnacentral:rRNA from 1 species